AAAGAUCUACAUUCAUAGAUGUGCUUUAUUACGAUAUGUCCUAUUCACAAUAUCAACCUUCUCCAACUAUCUAUAGCUCAUCAUUUGAAGAGAAGGUUCUGCAAGUAUUCGAUAGGAUAGAAAGUACCAAUCAGAUCUUUCACUCCUCUACACAAUCCUUAAUCGAACUAGAAAUUCAAAUCGAUCAACCAACAAUCGUAUUUAGUAGGGA
rnacentral:lncRNA from 1 species